GAUGAACGCUAGCGGCAGGCCUAAUACAUGCAAGUCGGACGGGAUCCAUUGAUAGCUUGCUAUCAAUGGUGAGAGUGGCGCACGGGUGCGUAACGCGUGAGCAACCUGCCUCCAUCAGGGGGAUAGCCUCUCGAAAGAGAGAUUAACACCGCAUAAUAUCAACAGUUCGCAUGUUCAGUUGAUUAAAUAUUUAUAGGAUGGAGAUGGGCUCGCGUGACAUUAGCUAGUUGGUAGGGUAACGGCUUACCAAGGCGACGAUGUCUAGGGGCUCUGAGAGGAGAAUCCCCCACACUGGUACUGAGACACGGACCAGACUCCUACGGGAGGCAGCAGUAAGGAAUAUUGGUCAAUGGGCGGGAGCCUGAACCAGCCAUGCCGCGUGCAGGAUGACUGCCCUAUGGGUUGUAAACUGCUUUUGUCCAGGAAUAAACCUAAAUACGAGUAUUUAGCUGAAUGUACUGGAAGAAUAAGGAUCGGCUAACUCCGUG
rnacentral:rRNA from 1 species